rnacentral:lncRNA from 1 species
CACCUGAAAGAACAGCAGGGAAUUCCAGUGGGGCAGAUGGCCAUGCGCAGGAGAAGCUGUGGGCUUGCGGGAAGACUCUGUGCACAUCCUAGAAGUGCCCAGCUGCCUUCUUAUUGUAACCCCAGUGACCAUAUCUGGGUUUACAUGCCUGUUUCUAGACCAGUCACAGGCAAACCAGAAUGGAAUGCUCUACAGGCUGCCUUGGGAAAAGUGUGAUGUGCUCUUCACGGGAACAGCAGUGAGUCUAUCGUGUCCAUUAAGAGAAGGGGCUCUGAAGCCUGAUGACCACAGUUCAAAUCCUGGCUCUAUCAUUCCUGAGUUAUAUAACCCUUGCCAAGGAGCUUAACUUUUUGUUCCUCAGUUUUGCCAUCUGUAGAAUGGUGAUAAUGAUACUUCCCAGGUUGACAUAACGAUUAAAUGUUUAAUGUACAAAAGGUGCUUAACACAGUACUUGGCUCGCAGCAAAGGUUAACUACUGAUCAUCUAUUGUAUAUUUCAAAGUAGCUAGAAGAUAGCAAUUCAAAUGUUUCUAGCAUGAAGAAAAGACAACAAUUUAAGGCAAUGUAAAUCCUGAAGAUAAUGAUUUGAUCUUUACAAGUUAUUCAAAUGUGUUAAAUGAUCACAUGUAUCCCCAAUGUAUGUACAACUAUUAUGUAUUAAUAAAAAAAUUUAACAAAAUUAAAAAAACAAUCCUCAAGACUGAGCAAUUCCUUGUCUGAAUAAAAUCAGGAAAAGGUCCUAGAUGUUGGGUGGGCAACUCCAGUGUCCGCCACACAUGGUCACCCUCCAGUUCACAGACAAGUAAACAAGCAAU